GGUUUGAUUCUGGUCGAUUGAACGCUGGCGGGAUGCUUUUUCAUACAUGCAAGUCGAACUGCAUGGACUUUCCAAGGGUCUGCGGCGAGGGCGAACGGGUGAGUAAUGCACCUGAACGUGCUUAGUAUGUGGGAUAACUACGCGAAAGCGUAGCCAUAUCGUGGCCCUUCGGGGGCGGGGGACCCCCGGGCCUGCACGCAAUAGAGCGCUGAUAUCGACGACAUAGUUGGCGGCAUCAUCACCAUAUGACGAUCCGUAGCUGGUUUGAGGACGACCAGCCACACUGGACUGGAGACACGUACCUAGACUCCGCAUGGAGGCAAGCAGCGGGGGAAUUUGGACAGAAUGGGAACCGAUCCAGCCAUCCCGCGUGCGAUGAAGGCCUUUCGGGUUGUAAAGCACUUUGGCAAAGAAACGGCACGGGAUAAUACCCCGCAACUGAUUGUACCUGUAGAAUACACCGGCUAACUACGUGCCAGCAGCUGCGGUAAUACGUAGGGGUGCAAGCGUUAAUCGGAAUUACUGGCGUAAAGCGCAAAGGUUCGGAAAGAAAGAUGUGAAAUCCCGAGCUUAACUUUGAACUGCAUUUUUAACUACCGAGCUAGAAAGUUGAGGGUGAAUUUCCGUGUAGCAGUGAAAUGCAGAUACGUGAGAACACCGAUGGCGAGCAGCCUCCUGGGAUAACACUGACGCUCAUGGCCGAAAGCGUGGGGAGCAAACAGGAUUAGAUGUUCCCAACUACGCCCUAAACGAUGUCAACUAGCUGUUGGGGCCUUCGGGCUCGGUAGCGCAGCUAACGCGUGAAGUUGACCGCCUGGGGAGUACGGUCGCAAGAUUAAAACUCAAAGGAAUGAUGGUGAACGCACAAGCGGUGGAUGAUGUGGAUUAAUUCGAUGCAACGCGAAAAACCUUACCUACCCUUGAUACGUUCGAAUCCCGAAGAGAUUUGGGAGUGCUCGCAAGAGAACCGGAACACAGGUGCUGCAUGGCUGUCGUCAGCUCGUGUCGAGAUGUUGGGUUAAGUCCCGGCAACGAGCGCAACCCUUGUCAUUAGUUGCCACGAAAGGGCACUGACGAGAUCGUCAAAGACAAACCGGAGGAAGGUGGAUGACGUCAAGUCCUCAUGGCCCUUAUGGGCAGGGUUUCACACGUCAUACAAUGGUCGGGACAGAGGUCGCUAACCCGCGAGGGGAGCCAAUCCCAGAAACCCGAUCGUAGUCCGGAUCGCAGUCUGCACCCGACUGCGUGAAGUCGGAAUCGCUAGUAAUCGCGAUCAGUAUGUCACAGGUGAAUACGUUCCCGGGUCUUGUACACACCGCCCGUCACACCAUGGGAGUGGGGUUUUACCAGAAGUGAAAUGCUAGCUCAACCGUAAGGAGGGCGAUUACCACGGUAGGAUUCAUGACUGGGUGAAGUCGUAACAAGGUAA
rnacentral:rRNA from 1 species